ensembl:lncRNA
UGUCCAGCUUACUCUUCACAGUAUUCACAGUGCCCAGAUUAUUUGGUAAUAACAGGAUUUUCAAUUUUUCUUUCAGACUCUGACAAGAGCAGCCAGGAUAGUGACAGUGACAGCAAACAAGACAAGAGCAGCAAGGAAGACAGUGACAGUAGCAAUGACAGUGACAGCAAACAAGACAAGAGCAGCAAGGAAGACAAGGAGAGCGACAGUGACAGCAAACAAGACAGGAGCAGCAAAGAAGACAAGGACAGUGACAGUGAUAGUGACAGUGACAGCAAAGAUGAAAAAGACAGUAAAGAAGACAAGGACACUGACAGUGACAGUGACAGUGAAGGCGACAGCAAACAGGACAAAAGCAGUAAGGAAGACAAAGACAGUGACAAUGAAAGCGACAGUGACAGCAAACAAGAAAAAAGUAUUAAGGAAGACAAGGACAGUGACAGUGAUAGCAAACAGGACAAAAGCAGCGAGGACACUGACAGCAAGCAGGAGAAAAAAGUAGAUAAGGAUACUGACAGUGACAGUGAGAGUGACAGUGGCAGUGACAGCAAACAAGACAAAAGCAGUGAGGACAGUGACAGCCAACAGGACAAAAGGAACAAGGUAGACAAGGAGAGUGACAGUGAUAGCGAUAGUGACAGCAAACAUGACAAAGACAGUAAAGAAGACAAGGACAGUGACAGUGACAGUGGCAGUGACAGCAAACAGGAAAAAAGCAGCAAGGAAGACAAGGACAGUGACAGUGACAGUCAACAAGACAAAAGCAGCAAGGAGGAGAGUGACAGCAACAUCCAGCAGGACAAGAGCAGCAAAGAAGACAAGGACAGCGACAGUGAUAGUGACAGUGACAGCGAUAGUGAUAGUGAUAGCAAACAGGACAAAAGCAGCAAAGAAGACAAGGACAGCGACGGUGACAGUGACAGCGACAGCGAUAGUGACAGCAAACAGGACAAAAGCAGCAAGGAGGACAAGGCUGAUGACAGCAAGCCAGACACAGAGAGUGACAGUGAUGGUUCUGACAGCAAGGAUGCAGACAAAGACAGCAAAGAGGACAGUCCAGAUAAAAGCAGUCAGGAAUCCAGCAAUCUGAACAAACAUGAGCAUGACAAGAGCCAGGAUAUGGACAGCACCAGCAAACAGGACAACAGCAAGGAAAAGGAUUCUUCCUCUGACAGUACCAGCAGUAGUGAGAGCAAGUCCUCUGGUAUGGUUUUCUCUCUUCAUUCCAUUACAAAAGUCCGGCAUGCUUUUUAAAAACGAGCUCAUUGAAUUCAUGCGAGAUGCUGUAUGAUGCUGUACACUAAAAAAAUGGCGUUGCGCCUCUCCUAUUCUAUACGGAUGCUUUGAAAAGGCAAAACUAAUUCAGUGUAUUUGGUGUCUUCGUUCCAUGCAUAGAUUCCGAUGAUGACGAUACCUCUGAGGUAACUACGGAUGACAGCGGUAAGUUUUCUCGCAUCAGCUUUAAAGUAAAAAAGAAAGGCAAGUGAGUAGAAAGAAUUUCAAAGAUACACCUUAGCGGACUGCAUUCUUAGACAAAAGCAGAUGUAAGAGUAGAGAAACAGGCUCACGUCAAGAACGGUUCAAGAAACAAUCCUCGCUCUGCUGCAUCUAACCGGCACCCUAAAUGUUUGCUCAAAGAUAGGAAAGAGUUUAUGUCUGCUGGAAUCAUUCCUGCUGUGUUGUCCGUGCUUUGCACGCGAAGAAGCAUUCCAUUUCGUUUAGCAGCAAUAGUGCUCCGUGUUGAAUUACAGCAGCCUGACAGGACGUAGUCAGGAGAGGAAGGCUAGAUCUCCCGCAGCAUCCGUGAGCUCACCUAGCAGCACACUGAGCAGUCAGCAUUCAUUCGUUUGACACCAUGAAAAACAGGGCAGCAAAGUAGGACAGCUGGUAGUGUAGGGGUUGGUGUUAGUGUCUUUGGUUCUAAAGGUUGCAGGUUCAAUCCCCCUUGACUAUAGCACCCUUAAGCAAGGUACUUAUGCUGAAUUGCUCCAGCAAAAUAACCCAAAUUUCUCUAUUGCUUUAGAGAAAGGUGUCUGCUAAGUGAGUGAAAAUACCUAAUGAUGAGAAAGAUUCUUUGUAUGUACUUUAUUCUAAACUGAUUUGUACAGGCAGCGUUUACAAGUAAAGCUGUUUUGCUGAUCACUUUGCCAGAUGUCAGCUCUGAUGUAUCCCACAAACCUGAUCAAUUUGGCCAGACCACACAGGGCACCAUGCAAGGUAGGGCAGCGCCUUGCCCUGGUUCGGCAAUCCUUUACUAAUCUUCUCUGCUGUUCCCCUCUGAGCAGCGCGGCUGGGGCCCCUCUGGGGAUUAGCGGUUAGUGUUUUUCACUUUAAUUCAUUUUGGAACAGUGGCCUUUACAGAGUUUUUCCAAAGGUCACAUUACAGUACAAGAAAAUUCGAAAGAAGCGGACAUAAAAUGUCAACACGUACAGCACGUAUGUGAGAGACCGUAGAGCAGAGCGAAACAAAGGCUCCAUGCAAAUGGUUCAGGAAAAUGAACACACUUCUUCGUUCUUUCAGACAGAAAUUUGCAUUUCUUUUUCAUUUUCAGUGUCUCACGCUGGCCACACCAUCCCAGCACAAGUGUCCUAGCAACGUGGCCUAAUGCCACAGGAUGCUGGGGAUUCUGAUCCAUUUACAGGUAUCGUUACAAAGCACAAACUGUAAUGCUAAUAGGUUAUGUCAUUACAUGUGUUAUAUAAUAGGUAAUAAGCUAAUAGAGCCAAUAGAUCCUCAUGCGGUCUGGUCUUUACACCACUACACUUCACCUGAGACCUAACCUGCUUGGUGAUUCUUCUGUACAGGAGCAUGCCAAGGGUCGCAAAAAAAAAGCGCCAGAUCCUGAAGCAGUCGGAUUUCCUUGAUGUCGGAACCAGAGGAACACAAGCAAUCUGUUUUAUGUUCCUCAGCCUUUUCCUAUCAAAAUGUGGUGGAUGUGUCUCUCUAGGUCUAUGGGGAAAUAUUAAAUUAUUCUGCUGUUAAUGUACAUUACUUCUUUUUUUAUCUGCACUUUUAGGGAAGUUCUUAGCAUUUGACAACUAACCAGUUAUUGGAAAGUUCCUCCAUCUUCACCCCAGUCAUACUUUUCAUGUGCUCCUUCAGUUAAUUUCAGCAAACAAUAAUAAGGUAUUUGUUACAUGCAAGAAUAAAACAGUUCUCACGGUCUACA